AUUCUUAAUCUUCAGAUGAAUCCAAAUUGUCAAAUUUGAUGGGCCUAGGCUCCAAAUAGGAGGCUAUUGUAGUGUCUAAGGUGUCAAAGUUGCGCUAAACUCUGAUCUUGCAUGAAAUGGUAUGACUGACACUCCGGCCACCAUGUUGUUCCGCUUGCGAGUUUGAAUUAGCAGUGUCGCCGGGGUAAAAAUGGGCAUUGUUACAAUCAACUGUCCAUCAAGGGUGAUGGGAUUCAAGCUUCCAAAACCGAAGAUAGGGACUUAGGUUUGUAGAGUAGUUCUGCGAGUAUUCUCUAGAGAUGGUGGGGCACGUGUAGAUUAUCAUAAACAACAUCUUAAGUUAUGCCCUAGACUCUACCUUAUUUAAAGAAAGCAAAAUUAGAGGACUAGCCAGGAGAUUGGGAAGGACCAAAUAGUUGGCAAGCUCUUAUUUUUGGAGAAACUUUGUGGCCUUUAUGUGCUUUUCGAAGUUGACAAAGUUUGAACUAUUCUCAGCCGGAGAAGUUGAAAACCGUUGACAGAAGUAGUGAUCCUCAACAAGGUUUCCCAUAUCUAGUCUCUGGUGUGGAGAACUUCACCAAUAGGAGCGUCACUAUUACCCGAAGCGAUAGAGGCGUUUAGGAGUAAGGUUUCCUAUAUCUAGUCUCUGGUGUGGAGAACUUCACCAAUAAGAGCGUCACUAUUACCUGGAGCGAUAGAGGCAUUUGGGAGUUGAUUGCUUCCACCCUAAGUGUUGGUGUCAGCGUUCACAGAGUUGUCUUCAGUAGACAUGGUGUAGUAGAAUGAUUUGGUAGAAGGACUAUGAGUUCACAUCUCAAUGAAAAACACCAAUUAUUGGAACCAAAUUUGCGCAUUGGUGGGAUACCAGUCAAACGCUCUCCAAAGGUUAAGUUAGUCAACAAUAUUGAGACUCAAGCAGUGAGCAAGAAUAACUAUGUGUUACAGGAUUGUUACCAGAGUUAAGCCCUAAACAAGGGUAUUUAUACUAGUCGAGAGAAAGACCUUUUAGAAUAUGGAAUCAAUAUUAAACUGGAGAAUCCAAUAGGAUAUCUGGGCUUAUAUAUUGUUUCCUCUUAGGUGUGUGAUUACUUACGUUGCACGCCAAUCCCUAGAUUGUAGGAAUCUUCAAGAAUAUAGGAAAUUCAUUUGACCCUAGCUGAAUCAUGUUUUCGUAUCUUCUAAUAAGAAUGGUCAAGCUUAGUAAAGUCAACGGACUUUGCCUACCUUUCCGGAGCACAGUAAGAUGUGGUGGCAUCGUGGUCUGCUUAAGCAACUCACAUCGAUCAGAGUUGUUGAGUCAGUGACCAAACUUUUGAGGUAACGAUCCUCCUUACUCCGACCCUGGAAAAUCAUGGUCCCACACUCGGCCUUAAAAAGUUUUUAAAAAUCCUUCAUCAAUACUUAUGCUUUCACUAAAGUAGUGAUUCAUAUAACUAUCUGAUUAAGUUAAAGUGAUAUGAUCAUGAUUAAUUGUAAAUGGAGAGACUAAGAGCAUCUCUAAUGCCUAUCCUCAAAGCUAUCAUCACUACCUUACAUAGUUUAUAAAUGAGGAAUAAGGCCCUACAAUGCACCUGAAAUUAAGCUCUUAAAGUAUAAGGACUCAUCGGAUACAAAAGGCAAGUCCUUACAUAUAGGGACAACAUCUAGACGGAUUUGGUGGAGCUCAAUGGGCAUUUUGAGCAAAAAACUCGGCCCACCUAUGUGCUUGCUGCUUUGCAAUUGUUACAUUACUCCAUCCACACGUAGAAUGCUGCAUUAUUGGCCAAACAAAUGUUGACGUAACUGCAGUCAUGGGUCUCACAGCACAUGCUACUUUAUUAUAUAUUUAUGCUGAUGUGCUUCAUUCAACAAUAUAGAUGUACUAUGGUGUUUUUUUCACAUUUUUAUUAUUGAAGAUCAACUAUUUAAAUUAAACUUUGAAAGUUACCAUUAGAAUUCAAUGGUGGAGCUUCAUCCCACCAACUUUAGUAAGGAAAAAUUUUUGGUGUCGAAAAUUGAAUUAUUUUUUGGAAACCUUCAUGAAAAGGUCUUGGGCUAAGUUUAUUUUAACCAAAAAUCAUACUAUAACUUUAUUUAAUGAAAAACAAUUAAAAUUAAUGAAAAACCCUUAAAUUUUAAUUAAAAAAAAAAGACAAAAGAACUUAAAUUUUAAUGAAAAUGACACAAUUUUAAUAUAAAAACAAAAUUUUAAAAAAAUACCUAACGCGCAGGACCCUGUGCAUCCAUCACAUUCACUGUUUAUGAAACUGAACACUAUUUUGAAACAUUGAACACUAUUUAUGAAACUAAACACUAUUUAUGAAAAUGACAAUAUACUAUUUAUUGGUCCAGUUUCAUAAAUAGUGCCUAGUUCUUGGUCCACUUUCUUAAAAAAUGCCUAAUUCUUGGUUAUAUUUCAUAAAUUGUGCCUAGUUAUUGCUUCUAGUUUCAUAAAUAGUGUAUGGUAAUGGUACAUUUUCAUAAACAGUGUCAAUUUCUUGGUCUGGUUUCAUAAAUAGUGUCUAGUUAUUGGUCUACUUUCAUAAAUAGUGGCUAGUUCUUGAUCAUGUUUCAUAAAUAAUGUCUAGUUCUUGGUCCAAUUUCAUAAAUAGUUUAUUGUCCAGUUUCAUAAAUAGUUCCCACCUAUUGGUUUAGUUUUAGAAAUAGUGCCUAAUUAUUGGUUUUGUUUCAUAAAUAGUGUCUACUUAUUGGUCUAGUUUCAUAAAUAGUAUCCAUUUAUUGUUCCAGUUUUAUAAAGAGUGUCUACUUAUUGGUCAAAUUUUAUAAAUAGUGUCUAAUUCUUGAUUCAGUUUCAUAAGGUUUGAAACUUAGACCCUGUUUGGUCCUAUAAAAGCACCCAUUGCGCCAAAAACGAUCAACCAAGAAGUGAUCCUUUAAAUCAAAACCUUGAGAAGAUUAUGCUCUCAGUAAUUAUAUUUAAAAAUCUAUUUUCAAUUACCAAAUUAAAAUACUGGAUACUAUUUAAGUGGUGGGAAAAUUUUCCUUAUGCUCGUAACAUAAGCGGUACACCACGUAUCAUUAUGUAAGUGGUGGGAAAUUUUAUUUUUUAUGUUUUUAAUUUUUUAACACAAAAAUCUCACCACUUCUAUAGAGACACAUGAUGUACCACCCCGUGUUUGGGGCACAAUGAAAAAUCUUUCAUCUUCCUUGACUACUAUUAGGAAACAACACCACAAAAAUAAAAGGGAAUUGUUAUUAGCACUUCAAAAAUCUCAUUCUACACUCCUCACAAGUGUAUUUUUCUUUCUAAUUAUAGAAAGUUUGGAGUGCCACUCUUAAAAUCUGUAGAACUUCAGGUGUCACUCUUAAUGUUUUCGAAUUGAGCUCAACAUCACGAGCACGUAGGCGAAGGCCGUUCGUAAAUCGAGAUGAGGAAUGAGAAAUUAUGGAUGUUAGAAGUUUCUUAAAUAAAACAGGAAUUUAAUAUUUUAAGGGUUCCUAUUACUUUGGGAAAGGGACCAAUUAGAAAAGAAGAAAAUGAGAGAAGAAAAAAAUAAAGAAAUAAAUAAAGUAAAAUAAAAAAAAAA
rnacentral:lncRNA from 1 species